GUGGGGAAUAUUGGACAAUGGGCGCAAGCCUGAUCCAGCCAUGCCGCGUGAGUGAUGAAGGCCUUAGGGUUGUAAAGCUCUUUCAGUGGGGACGAUAAUGACGGUACCCACAGAAGAAGCCCCAGCUAACUUCGUGCCAGCAGCCGCGGUAAUACGAAGGGGGCUAGCGUUGUUCGGAUUUACUGGGCGUAAAGCGCACGUAGGCGGAUCGUUAAGUCGGGGGUGAAAUCCUGGAGCUCAACUCCAGAACUGCCUUCGAUACUGGCGAUCUUGAGUCCGGAAGAGGUGAGUGGAACUCCUAGUGUAGAGGUGGAAUUCGUAGAUAUUAGGAAGAACACCAGUGGCGAAGGCGGCUCACUGGUCCGGUACUGACGCUGAGGUGCGAAAGCGUGGGGAGCAAACAGGAUUAGAAACCCCGGUAGUCC
rnacentral:rRNA from 1 species